ensembl:lncRNA
AGCUAUGAGGCAAGUGGGAUCUUAGUUCCACAACCGGGGAUCAAACCUGUGCCCGCUGCACUGGAAGCACAGAAUCUCAACCACUGGACCACCAGAUAAUCCACGACUGCCUGCCCAUCUCCAGAUCCUCAACUUAAUCCCAUCUGCAGAGUCCCUUCUGCUAGGUAAGGGGACAUCUUCACAGGUUCCCAGAGACCACUGUUAUUCUGCCCAUCACAGCAAGACAAGCCUACUUUUUCUGAAAAGGGCCCCGCAAUAAAUCUUUUAGGCUUUGUGGGCCAUCUGGUCUCUGUUGCUAAGACUGCACAAUUUUCAGAGCUCAAUGCAAGAUAAAAAUAUGGGACUCCUUCAUUCACAAGAUUAAGAAUUUCAGACCAGUGACGGCAGAAGUACAGGCCCCCGCCAUCUGAGCAAGUCUGCGUCUGCUCCUGCAACCUGAAAGCGGCCGUGGGCCACACACAGAUGACGGGAGUGGGCGUGGGACCAGUAAACGUGAUGGACGCUGAAGGUGCACUUUCCCAUGUCACAAAAUGCUAUUCUUUUGGGGUUUUUUUCCAAUCAUUUAGAAAUGUAAACGCUGUAAAUGUAAAUGCUCCCAUGCUUCCAAUGCAGGGGACACGGGUUCCCUGACUGGAGAACUAAGAUCCCAUGUGCCCUGUGGUGCAGUCAAAAAAUUAAAUAAGAUAAAUAAAAUAAAAAUGUAAACAUCAUUUGUAGCUCACAGGCUGUGUAAAAAAAAAGGUGUGGGUGGAAUCAGGCUGCAGUCAGCUAGCUUCUCGUCCGCAGGAUGAAAUCCCAACUUCUCUGCCUGACUCUCUAGAGUCCUUGACAGCCAGAGACAGACACCCUGCCAGUCCCGUCUUAUCGUCUUCUUUCCUUGAGACACCUACUGCUCUGUGAACCCUCCUCACAGGCAAAGCUGCACCUGUGCUCUGGCUGGUCCAUGUGUGAAAGCCCCAUCUCCCCCUCCUGUGGCUGGCAGACCCUGGCUCCUGCUGCCCUCCAGCCCAGUGCUGCCCUCAUGAAAGGUGGUGCUCUGGACCUGGCCCUUGUCACACUGCCUGGGCUUGGUGUCUGCAUGUCCUCUUCUUUCUUGCAGCAGCAAGGUCCUUUCGAGCAGGAACCCAAACGGAGUCAUCCUGAUCACGUGGACCCUGAGAGCAUGUGCUUCGAGGCACAAUAAGAACAAUCAGGAAUUUUAGUGGCUGGAGUGUAGUCUAACCCUGACCCUUAAGAACCAAAACUAUGCUUCUUACUAAAAAACAAAACAAAGAAUUUCUAUCUCAAGAUCAGAUCAGGGUAAUAAAGAUCUCUGAGAUCAGGCAGGCUGGACUCAAAUCCCUGUCCUUACUAGACAUGUGUACCUGGACAAGUCACCUCCCUUGCUCUUAGGACAGGGUCUCAACUUGCCAUGGCCAAUCAAGCCCCGUGUGUCAUGCCCCUUUCAAUCCCAUGAGUCACUGGCCUUUCCUAAGUGUGCCACGCUCCUAUGGGCCUCAGGGCCUUUGUGCUUGCUGUUCCUGCUGCCUGAACCGUCCUGCUCCCCUUUGCCUGUGACUCACCCUAAUGACUGUGCAGGCCCCCCCUGGCUGCCCCUGGGCGAAGUCAGGUCUGCCUGUUACACACUUUGCUGGCACUCUGGACCUCUGCAGGUUGAAAUUAUGUGUGUCAUUUCUUCUUACAAUUAAUAAGCACUUGCUACCAAGUUCUACUUCAGAUUCUGAAAGUGGGUGAUUUCAUUUCAUUCUCACAGUGCCCUCAUAAAGCACCCCCACUUCGUGGAAUAGGAG